CUCGCAGAUGGAAUUCAAAUACCUGUCGUGUUCAAGACAGCCCCAUGGGGAUUAUAGGUGGAUGUCAGAACUAUACCCAGAUUCAGACAUGUGACACUUUCGGGCUGAAGCACUUAAGAGCCAGUGUGCCCUGUCCAUUUCUGUCUUCUGUCCUGUGGAUUUGGAAGCAUGUGUUGACAGAACAAUGUCUUAUGGUGAAGGAAGCCUAAACCCCUGAGUCAUUGGAUGGAGGAGAGCCCAUGUUGACCCAUAAAGGACUUCAUGGUCUCGCUCUGUCACCCAGGCUGGAGUGCAGGCGUGCUAUCUUGGCUCACUGCAACUUCUGCUUCCCGAGUUCAAGAGAUCCUCAUACCUCAGCCUCCUGAGUAGCCGGGACUACAGGCAUGCGCCACCACACCCAGAUAUGACUUAGAAUAUGAUUGAAUAUGAAUACAUGAUUGAAGAUAUAUUAUAAAAUUGAGAUACUUGUUGCAACACAACAGGGAAAUGAAUACAGAAGGGCUCAAAGUAUUUUAUAGAGGGUAUACGAGCAAUUUGACGUCGCAGAAAACCUGUCAGAAAGAAGCACCAUGGAAUAGAGGAAAGAGGCCCGGAAUCCAGCCCCGGGAACUGUGACAGCCUCUGGGGUGGGGACUCUCGUGGAAAGGCUAGAUGAUGGAGUCACGUGCUCCCUUCCCGUUCACUAGCUGCUGAUUGGCCAACUGCUCCUGCCAGCUGUCCCUGCACUCCAGCUUCCUACCAUAUGCUCCAGAAUAACGUCUGGAAAGUGAGCCCCAUCCAUCAAGUUUGUCACACCUUGCACUCAAUCUGCUACCUUCUCUACAGUGUAAUGGCAUUAUUAAAAAUCAUUUUCAUUAACAUUUAUAUUUACAAAAAAAAGACAAUUUUUUUUCAUUAGAACUCCUUAAAGCCAUUUCCCUUAAAUAUUUAAAGAGUUUAAUGGUAAGGUUUUUUUUUCAAGUUAUAAAAUAAAAAUCCCAUUUGAAUUUUCUGAUGUACAAAAAGAGAUAGAGAUGAACCAUUUGGACCACAGAAUCAGUUUGUUAUUCUGAAUAUUUAUGCCACCAUUGUUCCAUUAGAAAGUUGGUUUUUAAGAUCCAAAACCACAUUACCAGAAUUGUACCAGAAUUAUUUGGCAAAUGACUUUUCUUUGAAAAUGGCACGUGGAGAAGACACUUGUCUGCAUAGCAACACAGCAGCAAGAUAUCGGAAAAAUAAAAAAUAUCAUUUUAUUGUACUUAGAGUUUAGAGCUUCUUAAGAAAUCAGAUGCAUUUUUCAUCUUUCUCAUCAAUGGGAUCUGAUGUCUUUUCCUACUCACAGAAUGAAGGUUCGUACUGAAAGCUGUCUUUCUUCACCAGGAUGCAGAAUAGCUAAAGGACUGUUUUGGCAACAUUCGUGAUCAUAAUGAAUAAUCAACCACUUAUUUGUCUUGUAAUUUCAAGUUAAUUCAUUUCACUGAGGCUUUUUUUCUCCCCAGUUAGAUUUCUUCACCCAUAUCUAAAAAAAGUCAAAAGCAAUACAAAAAUUUGUACACCUAUUAAUUUUCAAACAUGACAAAAAAAGGAAAGGGGGGAAAAUGGCAGACCAGGCCCCAUGGAGUGACAAAAAACACAUCAUCCUAUGUGAAAAGGCAUAUGGAUGACGAUAUUGUGGUCACAGAAGACCCUUUGCUUUUGCUUAAAGAAGUCAGUUCCAACCCUGUUGUAAUCCUCUGAUGCCUGUCACUCCAAAUUUGGUGUCUCAACAGUGGUCAACAGGUAGAGAAAUAAAAAGGGAAUUAAUAAUUUUGCACACUGAGUCAUCUUAAACCCAGCUAUGAGGGCUCAAAUAUUUGUUGGGUAAGCAUUUGCUUGAUUUCUGAUUUAAUGUUGGGUGGAUCUUUCUAUACUUUUUUUGUGUGCUGCCAUAGAUAUCUGCCAUUGGUUGCCAAAAAUGCUUAGUUCCCUCUUCUGAGCGAGUUCCAUUGGGCAAUCAUGAAUUUCUUGUGGGAAGAGGUGAAAGAAUACAAGAGAGCCUGUCGUGAUGCUGAUGUCCAUGCCAGUCUUGAGCACCCACCACGAGCUCGCAUCGAUGCUAUUUCUUAGGUCUGUUGAUCUGCGCGUACAGAGGCUCUGGCUCCUGUGGAUAAAGGAACAAAAUUUGUCCACGUCUCUGCCCUGCUUCAAAUCCUUCAGAGGCUCCCCAUCACCCACAGGGAUGAUCUUUCUGAAAUGGAUUUGGCCAUGCCAGUCUCCUGCCUGAAACAGCCCUCCUGGCUCCUUGUCACUCAAAGGAAAAGGCAAACUCCUCAAGACUGCACAUAAUGCCCACCUUCCCAACCAGCCUCUCCUACUGCCACUCUCUCUCCUACACCCUACCUUCCAAACCCUACUUGGGGUUCACCCUCACAUGCUGGAGUUUUCCCAUCUCUGAGACUUCAUUCAGGCAGUUCCUUCUGGCUUCGGAGGCUUCUUUGUUCCUAAAGUUCAUACUUUAAGACCUAGCUGAAAUAUCAAGGCUUCCUGGACUCUGCAGGUGACACGAGCCACUGUGCUCCUGGAUGCUUCAGAACCUGUGCAGAUCUCUGUCUUCACUCCUACUAUGGCAUCUCCUAGCAUGUUCUACACUGAGCUCCACUGGGCCUUGCAUGUCAGUAUCCCGAAUUCUGAAUGAAGCUUGGAACAUGGGAGGUGCAUCCACUAACAACAUGAAGAAUGAAGACAUGUGUGAGUAAAUGAACAGUUCUCUUCUUAGUGGAAGUUGGCAAAUAGUUGUGAACUUUAAUAUGAUUCUGACAUAUUAAUAUCUUUAUUUUUAGAUAACAGAGUAGAUGGAAACCAUAUGGUAAAACCUAAAGCAAAAUCCACCCUCUAACCUUUCUGUAAGUGAAACACCCAAUUUUCUCGAAGGUGCAGUAAAAGAGCUAAAGCACAGGAGACUAAGUCAUGCAGGCCUAGCUUAGUGUUCUCCUGCCAAUGAUCUGCUGCAAAGACCACCAGGGACACAUCUGUAGUUGAACAUGUUGGGUUAUUCCUCAGCGCAGAGGGAGGAGCAAUGAGGCAUCUCUGAAAGAGGGUGUUAGAAAGAAUGUAUCACAAGAUUUGGGCUUAAGGUAAGUAAUUUUGGGGAUGGUCAACAAAGUGGGGUUUUUCUCUGAAUUGGAUGCUGUCAUAAUGUGGGGGUAAUUCUGUGAUUAUCCCAACAAUACUUAUCUGGAAGGCAAGAAGAACAGAGCAAGGCUGAAACCAGGCUAGAGAAAUGUUUGAUCAGUUUUCCAAUUUUGACAAUGUUCAUGUUUUGCCUGUGUUCAGCCAUGAUGACCUGGUGGUCUUGAUUUUGUCUUGACCUAUCAUGGUCACUAAGUGGCCUUGCCUUAUGCUGAUGGUAUGUGAAAUGUUGAUGUUCAACAGGAGAAUGCCAGCACCUUGCUGUGGGGGUGGGCCUGCCCCUGACUGUCAGAGGCUGCUGUUCUUUUUCUUACCAUCACACAUUUAGCAGCCCUAGGAUUCUGUGCAGGGUACUUAACGUCUUUGGGUGCCAGUUUCCUCAUCUGUAAAAUGAGGCUAGAAAUACCCUCUGUGAAGGAGAAAACAUGUUGAUUGUCUAGCACAGAGUCUGAAACAUAGGAGAUACUCCAAAAAACAUUAGGUCCCUUAUGUCUGGGAGUGUGGCUUUAUCCUCCCUUUAUAGACAAUGGUUUUAGGCCUAAUAAUCACCUGUGGGUUUCUUUUCAAAUGGCCUCUCCUUCAUAGCACAUAGGUGCAAUUGCAGAUGAGCUCUCAGUUAUUAAUAAAAGAAUGGUGCUGGACCAGCCUAGGAAAAUUGUGCAGAAUGAAUGUGGAGUUAAUGCAAACAACCUGGCUGCAGGGCCCUGUGGAUAACAGAAACUUCCACCGUUUGCAGACUACUCCACAUGUCCUUUAACUAUCUAUGAAUUAUGUGCUCGACUACAGCAGCCAAGUGGACUCACAGAACUGGAGUAAUAAUGGUAUAUCUCUACAGAAACUUUUACAGUUUAUAUACGGUCUUUCCAAUGUCACAUAGUCUUACUUGAGCUACACACCAGGACUGUGCCUUUAGAGCUCCUGUCUUCAUUUUACAGCAAAGAAACCUGGGCUCCCUGCAGUUGGGUGACCUGUGCAGUUACUCAGCCAGCACACAGCAGAGCUGGGACAUACUGCUUUUUUUUUUUAAUCUUUUUUAGAUUUUUAUUUGUGGUGAAACAUAAACAACAUAACCUUUGCCAUUUUAACCACGUUUAAGUGUACAAUUCAGCAGCAUUAAUUACAUUCACAAUGUUGUGCAACCAUCAGCAUCAUUUCCAGAACUCUUUCAUCACCCCAAACAGAAACUCUGUACCCAUUAAGCAAUUAACUCCCCAUUCAUUCCCCAAAUCCCCAGCCCUAGUCUAAUCUACUUUCCAUCUCCACGAUUUUACCUAGUCUUGUUUUUAAAUCAAUUUCAGUGAGGUAUAAUUUACAUACAAUGAAAUGUACCCAUUUUAAAUGUACAGUUUAAUGAACUUGACAAAUAUAUACACCCAUGUCAGCUAUAGAGCAUUUCUUCACCCUAAAGACUUCUCUUGUGCCUUCUCAGUCAACUCCCUAUCUCAGUGCCAGCUCUGAUCUGCUUUUGAUUGCUAUAGACUAGGUUUGUUUUUUCUAGAGUUUCAUGUAAACAUACUCAGGUCUUUUUAAGCCUACUAUCCUCUCCACUACCACGUGUUCCCUCUCAUAGAAGGUUGAAGCUGGAAGGGCCCUCACACCUACAGCUCCUUUUCCGCAUGAAGAAACUGAAGCCCCAGACACAAGGGGUACUUUCCCAAAGCUAUACAGGAGACAGUGGAGAGCCAGGGAGCAGCUCAGGGUUCAGACUCCCAUUUCUGUGCUGGUUUCCUUGCUUUCUUCUCCCAGCCCCAGCUCUUUGGCAUGAAGUAUAAGGGCAAAUGGUUUCCUAUGUCACAUUAUAACAAGACGCUCUUGGAAGCUACCUAAAUUGUGCUGAUUACUUUCUGCCCAUUUAAUAUUUCUUGUAUUUGUUUUUGGAAAGAUUGACUACCUUUGACAAAAGUAUGUCAAAAGCAAUACAUCUUACUAGUGGAGCGAAGACACUGCAUGCUGACAAAGGUGAUCUCAGAUGUGAGGUCGAUGGUGCGCCAUGCAAUCAGCUUGCUGAGUGAGCCUACUUAUGCCCCAUCCCGGGGGCCUAGGGUAAGAAAAGUGCCAAGCGAAGCUGAGGAUCAGACUAAAGCUGGAAGGUGAGUCAAAGCUUGAGUCCCUCAGCAUUACCCUGCCCAGGCAGCAACUUCAGCCUCAUGGUCUUUUAGCCCUAAAACUUAGGACUAGCUCAGUGGGAGUUUUACAUUCCUUGGCUUGACAAAUGAAAAAGGUAUUGGUAGUCAGAGGGGAAAAAGGCUAAAAUAACUCAAAGUUCUAUCUGAAUCCAUGUGGAGGGUCAGGAAAAAUGCAUGGGUUUGGGGAGCCAGAAAGACCCCAGAAAUCCUCCUAACUUCCGAUAUGAACUUAGGCGAGCAUCUCACCUAUCUGCACCCCAGUUCCUUCAUUUGUAAAGUGGAGGGAAUAACAUCUACCUCAUGGGACUGUGACAAGUUACAAGUGAGCUCGUAUAACAUGAAGUAUCUUAAAUGCUGGCAGCCUUCUUUUUCUUUAUAUUCAAACAAAAGGAAAAACAAAGCUUUCUGGCCACUUUGAGUCUGAAAGUCUGGCUGUUAGGGUAGAAAAGUCUUCUAAACACUGAAUGGAUUUGAUGAUAAUCCCUUAGGGAUUGACACUGCCGAAUGCCCUUGUUCCUGGGGUCUUGGGUGCUGAAAUCCGCUUGGUGCAUACAGAGAUGCACCACCUGAGUUUCGAGGCAACUGUGCAUGUUCUGAAGAACAUUCUAUUUCCCCGUCAAUAAUAACAACAAUGAUGGGCAUCAAUGAUCUGUUUUGCACAUGUACAUCAUCUUUUUUGGCCUUGUUAUAUAACAGAUGAUGACGCUGAAAUUGCUGACACUAAUUAUCUACCAUAAGCAGGAAGGCCUUUUCUGAGUAAGCUCCUGGUUACUGGGAGCAGGUUGCAUCUAGGACUGAUAGUCUCUGGGGAUCCUAAUGAAGUCAGCGUAUUUUAGGGAUUUCUGUCUUCUCCUUUGUUAGAUGGGAAUAGAGACAGCCUGAGGGAGAGAUGCUGCUGGAAGAUCUUAUUUGGGGAUUGGUUCCAUGCUGUAGCUGGGUGACUUUGGGCAAGUUAGAUGGUCUUAAAAUGUCAGAGCUGGAAGGACCUGUGGGAACUGUUUUACAGAAAAGGAAACCAAAGGUCAGAAAUGAAACCAUCUGCCUCAUAUCACACAGCUAAAUUGAUGUGAUGCUAUUAAAACCCAGGUGUCCUUCCUGAUUCUGUUUGAGUGUGUUUGAAUUACUUAAUCUGGGUCUAGAUUCAAAUCCUGGUGCUAUUACAUGUGAAUCUCAGGAUUUUAGCAAGUUGUUAAACUCUCUACCUUGUCUGCAAUAUUUGUGAAAUGGGAAUAAUAAAAAUACCUGAGUGUUCCUGUGAGGAUUAAAUUAGGUGAUGCUAGUAAUUUUAAAAUAUAUCUUAUUAUUAUUAGUAAGUGAAAGGUAUCAUGAUUACCUUCUGCAGUGGUUCUAGAAACAGUGAGCCUGAUCUAAUUCUGUUAGCCAAUUCUGGUAGCUGCCUGUGUUUGUAAAUAAAGUCUUAUUAGAACACAGCUACAUUCAUUCAUUUAUGUAUCAUCUUUUGCUGCUUUCCUGUGACAAUGGUAGAGUAGCUGUAAUAGAGACAGUAUGGCCCACAAGGCACACAUAUUUACAGAGAGUUUGGCAACUUCUGGUUAGAUGAUCUGUGUAUUCUACUUGCACUCACUACUCCAAUGGCUGAAACCCAUAUGGAAAUCUCCAUGUCUAGCCUUGAUUUCUCUUUUGAUCUCCAGAGGUUGUAUCCAGCAGCCUACUGGCAUCUCUACUUGGAAGUCUCAUGGGCACCUUGAGUUCAGUUGGUCCCAAAGUAAACUUGUCUUCUUUCUGCUCAAACAUGCUGCUUGUGUUCCUUAGCACAGUGACUGGCACCAUGUAGAUCCCCAUGCCAGGAACCUGGGUGUCAUCCUACCUUAUGUCCUCUUCCUCACCUCCCAUGUCUCUUCGGUCUUAACCUUCUGUUGAUUUCAGCUUUUAAACAUCUCUUGGCACUAUGCCUGAGGUCUUGGCUGACACUGCCCUUAGCUAGACCCUGGUCAUCUUCUGCCUGAUCCAGUGCCAUCACUUUCUAGCUACAGGACCUCGACAGGGAGUCUGUUCAUAAAGGUCCAAGGAAGUGGGACACUGUGCCCUCCAAAAACUUAGGUUGGACUUGUCAUUGAGUUCUGUGUCCAUAAAAUAGGUCAUUUUCUGUUGUUUUGUGGUUCUUUAUUUUAAGGGUCUGUUGUUUGGUUGUAUUUAAAAAGAGAAUGGUAAUAAUAAUCCCAAAUACAUGUACUUUACUUUCAAAGCUUAUAAAACACUUUCAUACUUAUGAUAUUAUUUGAUUCUUGGACAGCUUGGGGAGAGAGCUAUUGCAAUUAUCUGUAUUUAUCCAUAUGAAAGGAUGUAUGCUUACCUAAGGUGACCUGCUUUGGAAGUAGAAAUCAGACCUAAGGCCCCUGACUCUGUGUUUUGUUUCUUCCUUUCUUUCCUUUUCUUCCCUUCCCUCCCUACCUCCUUUUUUUUCUCUCUCUCUCUUCCUCUCUCACUCUCUUAAGAUUCGUCUUCCCAAAGCAUCUGAGGUUUCAGCUUUCUUUUCCCUUGAACACUAGAAAUCCAUCAGGUAAUAUGUUAUAUGUCUUGCAUUCCCACCACGAAGAUCAGUAUUAAAAAAUGACAGCAACUUAUUAUUUAUGGCAAUAUCUAUUGUUACUAAGGGAGGCAGACCAAACAAUUCCCCAUUGUUACAGAUGCUACUCUGACUUGACAGCUGGGAAAGUCUGAUAGGCAGUUUAUUUACUUAGCCAUUUAACCAAAUAAAUGUUUUCAUUUUUCUUUCAUCUCCUCAAAAGCUAACAUUUCGUCCUCAAAAUUGCUCCAGCAACACAUCAGUGAAGUAUAAAUUACCUGCCAUUCCCAUACCAGUCAUUAUAAUAUUAUUUUGGUUCUUUUUUGCCCUUGUUGACCCAGUCUUUCAAAGACACGUGAUUCUCCCAGAUGGGAGGGUAGGGGGAAAAAAGUGAAGUAAUUGAAGAUACUUUCCUUUAUUGCUAAAACAGCACUGCUGUUUGAGAUUGGCCCUGAAGCUUCCACCUGUGGGGAUUGAGUCCGUCUGUUUCCUCUUACUAUGGUGUGAUAUGGCUUUAGCUUAUCAACAGAUGUCAUCCCUACUUACUCAGAACUGUGCAGGUAUUUCUAAUAAAAAACAGCUGGUGAUAAUGGUUGCAAGGGUGAUAAGAGAGACAGGACUCUUGCUUUCCAACCAUAUGAAAGCAGAGGGGAAAAAAUAAAGCCAUGGACAUAACUUUCCCUGCAUGGUCUCUCUUCUCCAAAUGUUUGGAAAGGCACUAAGAAAUUGCAGUCAGUAAAUUUUCAGUUGGGUGGAUGGGGGAAUGGGAUGGAGAUGGAAAGAUUAAAUGUGUCUUGUGCUGCUGUCGAUGGAGGGACCCAGAAUGGCUCUCCCAGACGUCCCCCAUGUGUGUCAUAGUGGCUAUGUCUGCAAAGCUGGCAUCUGCCCCUUGGCACUUGAAUCUUGAUAACUGUGAAGUGGCCAGGCUAAGCUUUCAAAGGGAGAAAAUUACUUCACCGAAGAUUACAGUCCAGCCCUCCUCUGGAGCUGGGAGGUACUUAUUUUGACUUGCAUGUGAUUCUAAGACAGCCCAUUUUUUGGCAGUGAGCUGUGUGAGGCCCAAACCAGGGCCAUUCUGAUUAUGGGGUGGGGCAAGCCAGAGAGCUAAGCAGCAGGCUUUUUUCUUUUUUUCCCUUCCAAAGCUGUUGUGACACAUAUUGAAAAUUAAUUAUCUGAAGACAAAGUACAAAGCAAAACCUCCCAACCAAUGGUCUUAUACAUGAAAGCUAAAUGUAUAAAAUCCAAGAGAGUGGGGAGCGUGCAUUAAUUGGAUAUAUGUGAUGAUGAUAAUGAUGAUGAUAAUGAUGAUGGUGAUGGUGAUGAUGAGGGUAGCUAGCAUCUAUUAGGUGCUUUCUAUGUGCUAUACACAGUGCUAAGAGCUUCACAUAUAUCACUUUAUUUAGUUCACAUAAUAACCCUAUGAGGUGGACACUAUUUUUAUCCUUAUUUUUCAAAUGAAGAAAAUAAGAUAGAGAAUAAUUAUAAAAUCACAGCAGUGUCACAUAGCCAGGAAGUGGUGGAGCCAGAUGCUGAACUCAAACAAUGUUGUUCCAGAACCUAGAUAUUUUUUUUAAGCUGAAUUUUAAGCUGAUUACUCAGUGUCUGUCUCUGCGCUAGAUACUCAACAUAAACUAUCUCAGUUACCAUUAUGGAGAAUAUAAGCCCCUUCUAGCAGAUGAAGAAACCAAGACUCAAAUUUUGGUUCUUGCCCAAGAUUUCCCACUAUUAAGUAGCUGAGUUAGGAUUUAAACUCAAGUCCAAAUCCUGAGUUCUUCCCACACUACUAUGCUAUGUCCAUUUACAGCUCAGCUGUGGCUUGGGGUACUGGACAGAGCAUUAAAUGUGGAACAGACCAAAGCCCCAUGAAACAGUUUGGCUUGUAGGAUUGUCUCAAGCUGAACAGGUUCAUAAAGAUGAGGGUUUAAUACAUUGAUCUGCAAAUGGUGUAAGUCAUCUUUGUUUUCUAGAAGAACUUCAAUUUUAGGAUGAUGUUUGCUGUUAUCCUGAUGAAUGGCUCUUGUCACCUCUAGUUUAUUCACCAAAUUUUUCAAGGCAAGGUUGAGCACGUGAAAUACAACUUAGGCGGGGGGUAAAAUACCUCGUGGGGAAUCAUCCCAAGGAGUCUGCCUAUAGUCCCCAACUUUUCUUUUUCCUGAAACAUUGACUUUGCUUUCAAUAUAUCAACUCCCGAAGUAGCUUUGCAAGAGUGAACUUCUAAGUGAAUCGUAGGUGGUUUUGCAUGGCAUGACAUAUUAUUAUGUGCUAUUGCACUGAUACAAAAUGUGGCAACCUACACAGUGUGUUAGGUUCUUUAAUAAAAAUACCUGUUAACAAAAUACACUUUCAAAAUACCAUAUUAGCUUUCAGUAACUGUCUAACUUACGUGUGGGCUAAGACUAAUUCUGAGGUAGCCUCAGAAUCCAUUUAUGAGGUAGCCUCCGAAUCCAUUUAUGAGUGGAGAAAACUGUUUACCAUUUUAAUGGUUUUGACCAUGCUGUUCAGAACUUAAAAAAGGAGCCUUUUGGGAAUGGCCUUGCAGUCCUGUGUGUUUAUAGAAAACUAAGAAGGUAUCUGAAAAUUGAACACGUUUGUCAAGAAGUGACCUUAGAAAUCAUGUCUGGGUAACAAGGUGUACUUCUGUCUCCUAAGAAGGUUUGCUUCAUCAGCUCCUCUUUCUUUCGAUCAAAUCAGAUGUAUUGAAAUUCAAGUGCCAAAAGCCACUUCUAGUAAAUGUAAGUACAUCUCUCUCAAAGUAGCUGCUGAUGGAAUCUGAAGUGAUUUGGUGGCAAUCCACAUGCUGCAGCACAGGUGCAAACAGCACAGCCUCAGAAGUGAGUGCUACACAUCUCUGGGCUUUGAAUUUCACAUCAGAAAGGAUGCAGGGUGCAGGGUCCUUUCUGGCUAGACGAAAAGGGCUUCCUCUGAUCUUACAUCUCGAUCAAUCUUAUUUCAAGCACUGCUUGUUUUUGCUUCUUAGUCUGGCUUCUCUGUGUGUUUGAUUGGUGACCUCUUUAGAUCUGCAGACUGUAGGCAAAUGCAGUGACAUUUUGCUUAAAAGAUUAAAGCAUCUGGACCAUGGCUCACUGAGAAAUUAUCAGGGUGGGCAGAAUGUGUCCAUCUCAAAAUGUUGAUGCUUCCAGAAACUAAAUGCAUGCUAAGUAGCAUGGACCAUGCCUCAUUCUAUCACCACCAACCACGCAGAACAUAUUAUUAAUAAAAUAAUAUGAUCAGUUCCCACUUCUCACCCCUACCCCUACCUCCCAGGAUAUGUCAAAGGUCAUGCAUCCAUGAGAAAAGGCAAAGUAGAACGUAGACACCAGGCAAAGGGACAUGGUGCAGACACUGGUGAUAUAGCUCAGGCAAGAAGAAAUAGUGCAAACAUCAGGAAUACAGUUCAGGGAAGGAGCGAUGGUGCAAACAUCAGCAAUACAGCUCAGGCAAGGAGACAUGGUGCAAACAUUGAGGAUGUGGCUUCAGAAGUGAAGAACAACCAAAAGGGAAAGCAGAUAGCUUAAGGGUAAAGGAGAUAAAAAGGACAGAUACCUACCCAGACCUGCGCUAUCUAGCUACCGGCCUGUGGACUUAUAUUAUCACCACUGGGCUCCCCACUGGGCUCACCAAAUGGAUCACUGUUGGAUGAGGCCUGUGAUCCAUCAGGCUAGAACACAAGAAGAUAAUACUUUUUUUUUUCUCUCUUUUCAAGCAUUGAAAAUAUAAGACACCUGGAUAUACUUUCAUGCAGCACAAUCAGUUAUUGUAAAGGAGGGUGCAACGGCAUUUAGAGGAUGCUACACCACAAAUGUGGACUUGUAGUAACAAUUUAAUAAAAAGGCAGUCCUUUUCAGCUGACUCAUUUGAACACAAAAGAAAGCCCCUUUAGCAACCCCUUGAGAACUUAUGAGAUUGAGCCAGCAUUCUUUUCUAUGUAGGCUUCCUCAUGCAUUAUCCAUUUCAGUUACAGAGGUCUUAAUUUUAAGGAAAAACACAAACAAAUAACAAACUGGUCACUUACAGCUUCUUGCUCUUCGCUUUUGCUGGGACUUUCAAAGCCCUCUUCAAAGAUGUCAUCUGUGGUAGGAUCACUGGCAUGGGAUGCAGAUGAUUUGGAUGGAGAGCUCUGUCUAGGGGCUGGGGUUGGAGCUACACAGAGACCACAGAAAAAGAGACAUCUUAAGUGCCUGGCUGCCAUGAAUGUAUCCCAAAGAAACCUCAGGAAUCUGCUUAUAUUGAAGUCAAAUCUUAGGAUUCCUCUUCCUAUUUCCAGUGGAAUCAGUUGAAUAUUUGAAUUCUCUCUCUGUACGUAUUGAUCUUUCCUCUCACACAUCUGACUUCAGGAAGGAGCUCGUCCACACUGAUAGGUAAGGCAGUGGUUCUCAAAGGAUGGUCCUUGGACAAGCAGCAGCAGUAGCAUCUGGGAAUUUGUUAGAAAUGAAAUUUUCUGACCCUACCCCAGAUCUACUGAAUCACAGACUCUGUGUUUGAACAACCUGCUACAGGUUAUUCUGAUGCAUGAUCAAGCUGAGAACUACUGGGCUAUGGUUUGCUUUCUUCUUUCUGUGUUUCAUCAGAGGGCACGUUAUUGAGCGCCUUUCAUGUGUCAAACACUGUUAGAAACUUUACAGACAAUAUCUCUAAUCCUCAUAAAACAUCUUUGAGGUAGAGGUUAUCCUAAUUUGACAGGUAAGGAAAGUGAAGUUUGCUAAUUUGCUCAUGGCAACUGGUAGAACCAGAUUCUGAAUCCUGGCACAUAGGAGGUAUUCAAUAAACACAUGUUGAAUAAAGAGAAAGUGUCUCAGUGAUCUGGGAAAAUGGAUGUAGCUGAUGGCAACUUCACAGCUGGUACUUGAUUCUAUAAGGACAAAGGAUACGCAUUUUCUGGGCUGACCCACCCACAUCUCCUCUCAUUUGUUUUAGAGGUUUAGAACAAAUAUGCCAUUUGAUACCACUCUUCUUUUAAUAAAUUCUAAUUUGUCACUGAAAAUACUGGUUACUGGCUAAGACCCAAGUGAGAGGGUGGCAUGACUUCAUUUAGCAGCUGAAUUUUCCUAAUGUUAUAGAACUUAGAAAUCAGACAGUGAAUGAUUGUAAAACUUAGUGCAUACUUUUUACUCUGAUGAAUCUAUAUAUAGAAAGAUGAUGCUAUUUCCUAACUUAUUAUUUAUAAUGUGCCAAUGAGUUGGACACUGUGCUAGGCACUUCCCAUUCAUUAUACACCUUAAUAUAAAUACCUGCAAGUUGUUAUCAUAACUUUUUUGUUUCCCAGAUGGAGAAAUUGCAGCUCAGGGAGGUGAGGUGUCUUGCGAAGGGUUAACACAGCUAUGAAAUAGCAGCACUGGCAUUUAACAGAGCUCUGUCUGACACUAUCCAGUCCAACUGUGCUUUUCUGUUUCUAUUUGAGGUUCACUUUUGAUCCAACCAAUCCUCUUCCCAAAACAUUCUUAAGGGGAUACUGAUGGGUCAGAGGAUAUAAAGACUGGUUCUAAUUUUGUUCAAAAUAAAACAGCAAGUUUUUGGAAAAAAAUUUGCAAUGAAAUCUGUUUUGUUUCAGGAGAUGACUAUGGAACAAACUGUAUUGAAAGUGGGUUUAAAGCUAUAUGCAAACACCCUGAAGGGUAGUAGAUGUUUAAUAAAUAUUAGCUUAAUUAGAUCCUGAAUUGUAUUUGAAGUGGAUUUUUGCUUACUAAAGGUUGAGAACACAAGCUGAGUUGCCAGUUCUGGCAGGUAUACUGCUCAGACUUACCUAAUGAAAUCAAUGGAAAGCAUAAGCAGGAGUUUAUUUAUGCAGGUGUCUUAAUCUUUAGAAGGCUUUAUAGGAUGCUGCUAAUACUCUAAAGCAGUGGUUCUCAGUCUGGGGCAAUUUCAUCCCUGGGGUACAUUUGGCAAUGCUUGGAGUCAUUUUUCUCGACACUAGAGGAAGGGGAUAUACGUUUCUCUCAUAGAGUGAUUAGAGGCCAGCGUUGCUGCUAAACAUCCUACAAUGGGACAGCCUCUGAAACAAAGAAUUAUCUGGCCCAACAUGUCCAUAGUGCCGAGGUUGCCAACGAUGCUCUAAAACAUAACAGUAGCUAAGUCAUCUCCAUUUUGUUUAUUUCAUUCUCUAUAACCUUUCCCAAAUGCCUCUCAUGUCCCAGGCACUAAGCUAGCAUUAUGAGAAGUGUAGGAAUGAUGGAGCCAGUUCCUGCCCUCAAAGAACUUAAACUCUCCUCUUUCAUUUGUAGCUGGCACACAAGUCCAUUGAAAGAGAGAUGUUUGUUUUUAAAAAGAUGCUUGCUUAUUUAUGCAUGGCUGUCAUUUCUUUAACAUUUCAUUUUUUAUUCAUUAUUCCUCAUUGAAACCCUGUGAGUCUGCAUAAAUAGAGAUGCUGCCACUAUGUAGAUCAUAUGGCCUGAGUGCAAGUGGGUUGUUUAUACACGUUAAGGGCAUUCAUUUUCAGAAUAGCAUUCUGAACCUGGCUGAAAUGGCACAAUCUAAUUGUAUUAACAUUAGGGGUGUUUUUUUUUGACAGUUCACAGUAUUGGCCAUGCAGUGAUCCAUAUCACCUGUGACAGUAAUGAAACCGCCAAACUCACUGCAGCAUGAGCCUUUUCUUUCCUCUUAUCAGGUGUCAAGGCACAGGCUGAGUCAUCAGAACACCUUCCCUGAAUUGUGUCAAACAAGUGUACAUGUGCUCAAGUGUAUCUGGAUUCUGAUUUGGCUGCACAGUCACUGUUUUCCAGAUGUUUGCAGAAGAAAUAUGAGCUGGAGGAGACUCACUGAAAGCUGGAACUAGAAGGAUGCACACUGCUCAUCCAAGCCAAUUCACUUAUUUUACCAAUGAUAAAACUGAGUCUCAGAGAAGUCAUACGCUUGCCCAAAGACACAGCUUGUGGUGGAGGAGUCAACACCAGAACUCUGGUCCAGGACUGCAAAAAAACACUUAACAUGUGCUAAUAAUGAGGAUAAAAGAUACUUCAAAUUCUGGGAGUUCUAUAAUGUUUGAGCACAUAUACCAUUGAAUCCUUUUAAUAACCCAUCGCUUACACAGAUGAGGAAACCAAGGCUCAUAGAAAUAAAGUGCUUUGCCAAAAGGCACAAAACUGGUCAGUAAUAAAUCUGAUCUCCAGGUUCCCAGUCCAGAACUUUCUGCAGCACUAUCUUUUUGUUCCCUUUAACUACCAGAAGCUUUAACCCAAAAUGAGGCUUCAACUAUAAAAGCUAUUUAAGACCUUAUGGCUGCGUAUCUCUGCCCUAAGUUUUCUCUUGAUCCUUAUUUUAUAUUCUAAUGUUUAAAACUUGUUCCCCAAAUUUUUAAAGUUUGCAUUCAUUUUAUUUCAAUAAGCCACGCCAAAAUCUGUGUGUCAUAAGCUAUCUAUACGUAAAUAAAUGAACGAAUGAAUGAGCAAACAAACAAAAUCUUAAGAGGCAGAGUAACAUGGUGGAAAAAUACCAGGCUUACAUUCAAUUCAAUACCACUUUGUCUAUUGUCUUCAUCUUUGAGCCUCACUUUCAUUAUCUGUCAAACAGGUCUAACAAAAUUUAUCAUUAAGCAUUAUUAUAAGUCUAAAAAUAAACAUGGAACAUAUGAA